rnacentral:lncRNA from 1 species
AUAUCUUGCAUUACAGGCCACACAGGCACGAUCGUUUCUACCUCGUGUAUAAAUUUCAUGAUGAGUUGGCGUAUGACAUUGUGUGAUUGAAGUGUGUGACAUUUUAGAUAUUAAGGCAAAGCAUCUGCAUGACUGUGUGUGGUAUUUAAAAUACUUAUUACCAUUCACUUGAGCCGAGGCAUUCACCCCCGCCUCAUUUAUUUUUCCCAGGUUAUUAGCUUCUUCUUUCAACUACCAUAGGCGCCUCUGGAGCAGCUAGAUCUAUUCUUAUAAAAAGGACCUUGCUUGCCUAUAUGUAGUUAAAGUAUUCUUAUAAAAAGGACCUUGCUUGCCUAUAUGUAGUUAAAGUUUUGCAAUUACUGUAAUCUUUUGGAAUUGUAAAUAAACUUAAAAAUCUGAAUAAAGGAUAUUAGGAAUGUUGCUUGUCCUUGCUCAUAAUUGUAAAUACUUGUAUUCAUGUAAAUAUGUAUGUAUAGAAUCAAUAAGACUCUUAGGUUUGUGGAUUAA